rnacentral:rRNA from 1 species
GAGAGUUUGAUCAUGGCUCAGAUUGAACGCUGGCGGCAGGCCUAACACAUGCAAGUCGAGCGGUAACAGGACUAGCUUGCUAGUUGCUGACGAGCGGCGGACGGGUGAGUAACGCGUAGGAAUCUACCAAGUAGUGGGGGAUAAGCCAGAGAAAUUUGGUCUAAUACCGCAUACGUUCUUCGGAAGAAAGGAGGGGAUCUUCGGACCUUUCGCUAUUUGAUGAGCCUGCGUGAGAUUAGCUUGUUGGUGAGGUAAGAGCUCACCAAGGCGACGAUCUCUAGCUGGUCUGAGAGGAUGAUCAGCCACACUGGGACUGAGACACGGCCCAGACUCCUACGGGAGGCAGCAGUGGGGAAUAUUGCACAAUGGGCGCAAGCCUGAUGCAGCCAUGCCGCGUGUGUGAAGAAGGCCCUAGGGUUGUAAAGCACUUUCAGCAGUGAGGAAAGGUGUGUGGUUAAUACCCGCAUACUGUGACGUUAACUGCAGAAGAAGCACCGGCUAACUCCGUGCCAGCAGCCGCGGUAAUACGGAGGGUGCGA